GCUGGCGGCGUGCCUAAUACAUGCAAGUCGAGCGAACAGAUAAGGAGCUUGCUCCUUUGACGUUAGCGGCGGACGGGUGAGUAACACGUGGGUAACCUACCUAUAAGACUGGAAUAACUCCGGGAAACCGGGGCUAAUGCCGGAUAACAUUUAGAACCGCAUGGUUCUAAAGUGAAAGAUGGUUUUGCUAUCACUUAUAGAUGGACCCGCGCCGUAUUAGCUAGUUGGUAAGGUAAUGGCUUACCAAGGCAACGAUACGUAGCCGACCUGAGAGGGUGAUCGGCCACACUGGAACUGAGACACGGUCCAGACUCCUACGGGAGGCAGCAGUAGGGAAUCUUCCGCAAUGGGCGAAAGCCUGACGGAGCAACGCCGCGUGAGUGAUGAAGGGUUUCGGCUCGUAAAACUCUGUUAUUAGGGAAGAACAAACGUGUAAGUAACUGUGCACGUCUGACG
rnacentral:rRNA from 1 species